rnacentral:rRNA from 1 species
UAAGGAAUAUUGGUCAAUGGACGCAAGUCUGAACCAGCCAUGCCGCGUGAAGGAUUAAGGCCCUCUGGGUUGUAAACUUCUUUUAUAGGGGAAGAAAUGUGACGGUUCUCCGUCACUUGACGGUACCCUGGGAAUAAGCACCGGCUAACUCCGUGCCAGCAGCCGCGGUAAUACGGAGGGUGCAAGCGUUAUCCGGAUUCACUGGGUUUAAAGGGUGCGUAGGUGGGCAGAUAAGUCAGUGGUGAAAUCUUCCGGCUUAACCGGGAAACUGCCGUUGAUACUAUUUGUCUUGAAUAUUGCGGAGGUAAGCGGAAUAUGUCAUGUAGCGGUGAAAUGCUUAGAUAUGACAUAGAACACCAAUUGCGAAGGCAGCUUACUACGCAAUCAUUGACACUGAGGCACGAAAGCGUGGGUAGCGAACA